GCGCACGCACGCACGCACGCAUGGGCGUCCUUCGCUGUUCUCGUGGCCGCGUGAACCGUUGUUACCGAGGCCGCUGGGAGCGGCCGGUGGGGCUUCUGAGCGCUGGGUGAGCGCCUCUUCCUGCCACACCACCCAACGGAGGGACCGCCGUGGCCCAGAGGGUGGCUCAGCGGCCUCAGGAUCCGGCGCCGCAGCCCCCGCCCGUGUGACCGAGAGCCCCACGAAUUCAAAGCUCUGCAAGUACCAGUUAAACCUGGAUCAUCAUCUGAGAGAGGACGAUUCCAUUUCAAAAGGACGCGGUGUUUUCCCAUCAGGCUGAUGAAAUUGACUUCCCUGGAUGCCAGUGUGAACUGCUCAGAAUACACGAUGUGCUGGUUGUAAAUUGAUGACCAUAUAUUGUAGACCCCGGGAUGCUCAGAAGGAGGAGAGGACAAUGUGAAUCAAAUUCGUAUUAUGAAGCCUGGCCCCAGUAUGCAAAUCCCAGCCUGAGUGGUCAGGGCCUCUUAGUGUACUCCAAGUUACCUGGCACAUCAUUUACAUCCAUUUUUUUUAUUUCACUAAGAACACACAGACCCUCUUUCACUUUGCCACAAUUCUUGCUUCUGAAUCAAACUACACACGAAGAACCCUGAUCUCACAAAUGAGCAAUUGCUCUAUUAUCUGCCUGCCUUAUGGGAAACGGAGGUCCCAAUGCAUUAAGAAGGAAACUUCAAGCCACAUGAAUGAACUUUGCCUUUGUAUAGAAGGGUACAAUGCCUCUUCCCACGUGUCCACAGAAAAGCGUGUCAUUUCCACAUGAGAAGCAACAAAGGCCCCCGGAAGUCCAGCAAAGCCCAGGCACCCCAGCAGCAUCUUCUUUGUCCAGGCUUCUUUUGUCAUUUACUUGCUUUCACUAAUCAAGAUCGCACAGGAAUGUGUUGAGUUAAUGGUUCAGUUUUGUUAAUUGCUUCAUUGGACUGCUUUUCAGAAAGCACUUGCCCCAGUCCUUGAAAUGGAACACGAUUAAUCGGAAGUCACAAGAAAUAAUGAGGUUGAGGCGCCUCUGCAUCCACCCUGAAAUUCUGAGACCCCCUGGAACUGCAUUUUAGGCCAGGCAGCAAGGUAAUUGAGAUUUGCACAAAGAAUGGCAUGAGAUGGGGGCUUGCGGGCUCUGAUAAAGUGUAGGAGGGGUGCUCCUUGAAGUGAUUACACCCUAAUAUUUGCAUGAUUGCUAGAGUCAUCUGGGAAUGAUUUUUAAAGUUUGCAUCAAUCAUAGUUUUCUCCAGAAAACGGGGAGCAACACAAGCCUGGUUGUCCUUUCACAUUGUGCGCCAAGUAGAGACAAUCCCACCUUUUCUCAAGUUCUGAAUCGUGACAUUAAAUAGCACAAGAAAAUAAAAGCAUGGCAGUCCACCAGGACUGUCAGCUGAGAUAGAAAACCUGAUUAGUAGCAAAUUUGGCACCUGAGACUUCUGCAAAUGGGAUGAAUUGCCAAAGGCGUGUCUUGCUGCGAGAACAUUGCCUUUCCAUUCGGUUAUAGCAAAAGUAUGUGUUGCUAGAUAUGGUGCAUUAAUUGUUUUCUUAGGAAGCUGCAGUCUAAAUAUAAUUUUUAGUACGUGCCUUUGUAAGAGGCAUUUUUUAUAGCUAGAUCUAUAUAUCAUAGUUGCCUAUUUUAUUAAAUGCUCAAACUUCUAAAGAAAUUGUGCCAUAUUUACAAAUUAUCUAUAUUAGCAAAAACCAUAUAGGGCAUGCUUAGGUUAAUUACUACCAGAAAGAUUGUGGAGGUCUUGACAUAUUUUCAAUUUCAAUAAGAAAAACUCUGCAUUGCUAGGAGUGUUAUGCCAAUAACUAAUUUCUUUAGAUGAAAAUAUAUUGCUGUGUAACACUCAGUUGUCAAGAUGGACGGCUUGAGUCUAUAGCGACACAGUUUAGGAAAGUAGGAAUUUUAAAUGCAAAGUUCUGGGAGACACAAACAAGGUUAACUAACUAAUUCCCCCAACUCUUUAUCACCAUAGCGACUGCAUCUCAAACAUUUAUGUUUCUCGUUUCCUUAUAAAGUGAAAUAUGAGGCCAAGGUGACUACCACAUCUAGGAAAGGAUCUGGCCCUAGCACACAAGCAGCUACCCAGAGAUGUUUGGUGAAUGAAUUGCUGAAUAAUAUUGCAAGGAGCCUUCCUACCUGGUGAGAUUUAAAGAAAGCAGUACAAUAAUCAAAUGGAACUCACAGAAGCGGAAUACUAUCUGACAGUCUUCAGGAAUGCGAGGGAAGGCACGAAGGAAACGAUGCUGAGUAUGAGGCACCAGGGAGUGGAGUUGCUUGCCUGAGGCCCACAGCUGGAAAGGAUAUGAGCUGGACAAUGGGCCAAGACUGUGUGAUGGCAUGUCAAGUGGUCUUCUUCCUGCACCAUUCACCCCCUUGACUUCUAGUCUGAUUUUCCAAACUCAGGCAUGUUUCCUGAGUCUUGAAAUUGUUAAUACAGACAAGUGAACAUUCAUUAAAACAAAUGUCACAUCUAAGCCAACUUCUACCCGAGAUGUAUGUUCUUCCUGUGCUUGUGUGUUUCAACAACUGAGAGAGUAACUUUCUAGCAUCCUCAGACCAUUUGGGUAAAUAAAUUACGAAUAUCCAAGAACAGUUGCCCUGUGCCUUCUUAUAUACCACAUGCUAGCCCAGAGGCUGGACCUGCGAGGGUAAUUUGGCCCCUGACUUUGAAGAAUGGAGUUGGAGAGGCCAUUCAGGUGGCUGAAUGGGCAAAAUAAUCUCAGGAUUGUGAGUUUACAGUUGUGAGUUUAUGGAAUGGCAAAAACAAUUGGCUUAAAAUGGAUCCUGUUAUUUUAAAUUCAACCAUUUGAAUGCAAUUGAUGCAUUUAAUCCCCUAGAUCACCACCCAGCCUGCCUUCAGACUGGACAAGAGCACUGUGUGUCCUAGCCAAACAUUUCUACAUCAAGGUCUGGUAUAUUGACAUAUGUAUAUAUAUAAUACACUUACAUCUUGUAAAUGAAAGCUACUUCUGAUGCAAAAAUGUGUUUUCAGGUCAUUUUGUAUUUGAUAUUUGAUAAGAGGAGAGAUGGGGAAUUUGGUCAUGGGGCAUGGAAAAAGAAUGAAUUAUCUUGAAGGGAACGCCAUAAACAGAAGGUCCCAAACUGGAAACGCCAAGAUUUUUGCUGAAAAUGAUGAACAUGUGGAUAUCACAGAGGCUUAAAAUAUUUUUGGGUGUCAUCCUGAGUGUUAACCUGCUCAGAGGCACCUUCCAUGCCAUUUACCAUCACUGCCCCUCCUCUUCCAUGUCAGAACAAUCCGUUUCAGUUAUUUGUGAUGUAGGAUUUCUGUAUGUGCAUCUGCUCUAUUUCCCUUCCACUGGACUGUGAAACCCCGACGCCAGAGACCAGGAUGUUUUGGGGCUCUGCUGGAAGCCAAUGCCUUACCCACCUCGGCACCUGUAAACAGCAGUCAUCUGCUAACUACCGGGCAGUUCUGCAGCUGGAGAGGCAUUUGGAGAGGUUGGCAGGUAGAGAUGCUACCAGCCUGAGACAUCAGCAAGAACACAGAGAAUAGAUGCUACAACAUACCUAAGCCUUGGGUAUAACUGCUGAAGAACAUGCCUGGAAGGUCUCUCUCAGUCCAUUUGUGAGAUCCUCAGCAGCCAGCUUAGCAGAGGGUGGUUUCCCCUGAGAUGAUGGGACAUCCAAAAGUUCAGUCAUCUGUAAAGUCGCACAAAGCUAAGCUCCAAGUAAGGUAUGGCCCUGAGGUUAAGACCCAGCUGCACAGAAUGAAGAGCACACUUACAGUCUCUGCCCGUGGUGAGCUAAUGACCACUGAUAAUAAACCAAAGUCAUGUACCAAUGUGAUGCUGGUGCACUGAGGGUCAAAUUCCCCAAUGUAACAAUCUCUUUACCUUGAGCUGAAUAUUAGUAAAAUGGCUGUCUUUAUGGGAAGCAAACCAUGAACACAUGUAACUUUAUUCAAAAAUGCCAACACUUCAUCUGAAGAGAGAAUUUAUAAAACUGCAAAGUGAGUGAUGGAGUGGCAUGGGGGAUAGCCCUGUUGUCCCGGAAGAGAAGCCCUGAAGACUUGGUUCCCCACACUGUCUGUGACUCCAGACAAGUUAUGUCACCUGCUGGCCUCAUUGUCUCGUCUAUACAUCAAGUGAUGGGUUCAGCUGAACUCUCUGGCCUUUGGAGAUGUAAUAAGCCUUACAUGGACUCAAGCUUUUCUAGCAUUGCACUUCUGAGCUCUCGAUAUUUUUGUUAAACAUUAUAAUCUGCAAUUACAUCAUUCGGUAAUAUCGUAUGAAAUUUAUUUUUCACAAUUCUGCUGAAGUGCAGGGUGAUCACAUAAGCAGCAUUCUUGUAUUGGAGUUUGUCCUUUAUUAAACACUAAAUUCUACAUCCUUAUGUUUUCAGCUGUCUCUUAAAAUCACUGGUAAAAUGCAGUUAACACUCAGAAACAUGAGUCUGGGCUUAUAAAAGAACUCAUGAAAAACACCCUGAUAUAAUUUCAAAAUGAAACACAAAAUUGCUCCUAAAUAUUGAGAAAAGAGAGGCCCAAGGCCCAAGCUUUCUAGACAUCCCUUCUCUCCCCUGCCUACACAUGUCUGCAUGCCCCACCGUACAUUUCCUGAGGAUGGAAACUUUCCUCUGUGUCCUUGAGCCGCCUCCCCCUGCUUCUGUGGGGACCUUGCUUGAUUAUUUAUCCCACUUUCCCUCCUGAUGUAUCUUCAUCUUCUGUCUGUCGAACAGUUCCCUCCACUCAAUCUAUAAACAUCCCAGGUCUCACUUUCUGAAUAUGCUGUAUUUCAUCAAUUCUAAGAUAUACAUUUUUCACACUUAACAUCUCUGAAAUCAGGAUGUUUCUUACAACUUGCUAUUCUUAAGGAAGAUUUUUUUUUCUUUCUUGGAACAUAAAAUGGGGGUGUGCCUUACAAAUGAUGGUAUUUUAGAUUGGAUGUAACACAAUGCAAAUCCCUCCUCUGUCCCCCCAUAACACCUGCCAUGGGUUAGGCUCUUCAAGAUGGUCAGAAAUGGAACCUAUCCUUUGGAUAUCUUAGUUAAUGAGGAUUUAGUAUAAGGCACCACAGACCAAGGGAGGAAACAGUCCUAGCAGUGCCCCACCAGGAGCAGUGGAAAGUUGUGGCUCAUUGGUGAACAGCAGGUGCUCUAAUGAUUCAAGACAGUGCAGAUGGUCUAGAAGCAACUCUGGUGCCAACUCAUGACUCAGCUGUCCCAUCUCUGCUCUACAAAGUCAGACUCACAUUCAAGAUCCCCAAAAGUAAAGGUAAGAUUAGUUUGGUCAGUCACCAUUUAUGCCAUCAGCAAGACUCGUUUGCCAGACUAAUGGCAACCUAUAUAGAUUAGACACCCAACCAUCCCAGAUUGAAUUAGAUGUGGCCAGAGCAGGAACAAGACAUGGCAACCUGCAGGUAUGUAACCGCUCAGAAGAAGCUAUGGCCUAGGACGUAUUCAGAACUUAAUGUUUAUCUCCACAUGUUCCUCUAGCUGGUACUUUAUUUUCAGAUUUCCUUUGCAAUCCAAGUUUUUUAAAAUGUGGUCUAAACUUCUUGUCCCCACCUCCAGUCUUCCACCUGAUUCAAUCAGAUUUCCUUCCCAAUGCCUCUACACACACUGCUCUAGCUGUACUUGUCCUCAGCAUGACCUUGUGUUUGAUUUCUCCAAGGAACACGUUUAGUCUCUAUCUUACCAGCCACUGGGGCUGCAGCAGAUGCCAAGGGAAUGCCAUGGAUGGCCCACCUAGGGGCCCUUCCUCAGGCUAUACACUCUUCCUCUGGGUGCUCCCCACAUUGCUGAGGGCUCACAGCAAAGUGCCUCUCCAGAGAAUAGCUCUGAGCUGAUGGGAAUGCACAUAUGACUCCUGACUGAAAAGGCUGCCUUGGUGCUGUGGGGGCUGGUCAUGCUCCAGAGGGUCCCAUGGGGUUGGUUUGAGGCCAGAUGGUAACUAACUCCCAUCUUCACUUCGCUUCUUUCCCUGUUGAUCCUUUGCCCCUCACCUCCUUAUAGAUUUUCUCUACAAGCACUCCUUUAACAAAUCACCUGCCCCAGAAUCUCCACUUCAGGCUGUUUCUAAGAAACCAAGACACCUCAUACCUUGCACAUCUCUCCUGCACUGACUUCCUUGUUACCAUGUUCCCCUCCUGCCCCCAUGGCCCUUAAUCCUAUGUCUCCUACAGUGGCAAGCUCAACCCUUCCCUUCCUCCCCUCCAUGGCAGUGGUUCCCAAAGCAGCAGACCUUACAUCCAUUUUAAAUAACAACCAUUUCACAGCACUCCCUUUACUGUCCUGAGUCAGAGAUGACAUCACUGCCUGGUACAAGUCUCAUUUGCUGAAAGAUGCAGCUAUACAUAUGUGUGUAUGUGCGUGUGUGUGAGUAUAUGUCAAGUAAAAUUCAAAUGAAACCAUAUGACUAACUGAAUGGUAAUUUUAUUAGUUCAUUAUUAAGAUUCAGAAAAUCGUUUCUUCAGAAAAUGCUAUGAAAUAUGAGAAAUCAAAAUAUAAAUUAGGAAUAAAGAGGAGGAUAACAGCAAAGAACAAGGGUUCUGGAACCAGACUGCCACUAAAUUUUAAAAGCUAUGUGGUCUUGUGCAAGUUGCUUAACUUCUCUGUACCUCAAUUUCCAGUUUACCUACUUGAAAGAGCUUUACAAGAAGUAAAUUGCAAAAAAAAAAUUAUGUAUGCCUGGCAUACCACGGGUUUUCAUUUAUAUUUUAAGACAAUAAGUCAUGUUUUCUUUUAGUUUUAGCACGGUGUUGACAACCUCCUCUUUUCCCCCAGAAGGCCAGAUGUAUGUCCUUGAGAUGCAUCCACAUUGGUAAAGACUCGCACUUUCUCAAUGCUGGCAUGUGAUCGGUAUCCAGUCAGCUUGGGAAGUGUACUGGCAAGCUAGCUUGUUUUCAUUGCAUUCCCACAUAUGUCCUUCUACAUGCUUCCCCCCAAAUCCUGUCAGAGAAGACAAGACAAAUCCAGACAAUGAGGAACUGGACAGGAGGUAAUAAUUCUGUACAGAUGAGGAAACAGCUUGCGUAAGGUAGCACGCGUGUCCAAGGUCACCUAACAGAUACACCUUUCUUCUCUAUCAGCCCCUUUGACUGCUUGUGUCUGGGACUCCAGUGAAGUUUGAAUUGUCCAAUCUGAAGAAGUUAGCUUAUAAAGGCAACUGACAGACUUCGGAGAUGGCCACAUUUUCCAUCCUGUGGGGAGUCCUGACUCUUACCUAGAUCACCAACUUGUACUCAUAAUGGAAGAUGAGUUGCUUUUCUUUUGGAAUUUUGAAUGAAUUUGGCUCCAGAGGUGGAUGCUAUAUUGGAACCUCUGGAGAAUAAGUUCCUUCAGUUUCUGCUUACUUGGGGACUGUGUGCUGAGGGCCAUAGACUGUUACAACUAAUGAGCCAAAACCCUACCCUCAAGUGCUCACUGAGAGAAAGGGCAAAUGGCUGAGCUUCCAUGACUGUUCCCUUCUGAGCCAGUGGCAGUGGACAAUAGAUUUUUAUAACACCAGGAGCUUGAAUGAGGAGCUGGACUGAGACCAUAGAGACAGCAGAGUGGCUAUAAAGCAAUGUGAUUACUUUUGGCUGUGAUAGGACUGGGCCAUGUGAGCUGCAAGUGAUAAACUCUAUAAUCCAUUAGUGUUUCUCAAUUUUAUCCAUUUUCCAUAGGAGGAUAUGAUUAGCUUUUUUUAUUUUUUCUUAAAGAAUUGCUUUCCCAUUAAGAUUGUCUUUUAAAAAGGUUUUAUAAUGGUCUUAUUUGCAGUAAACUUCAUUUAUAUCCUGAGAAUGAAGCUUGGAAUUGCAGCAAAAUAAUCCAGAAUACCAUGGAAGGAAAAGAUUAUAAUCUACCUCCAGGACUUUUUUUAGGUAAUAGUCAAGAUAUGCAGAAAGAGGAACAGGUUAUUUUCACCCACAGAAUUCAUGCCCCAUUGGAAACAAUAUGAACUGGGCAAUAACAUCAGCAAUAACUAUUUGUAUUUUGGACAUGUUCAAUGCAUAGAUAUUAGAGAAGAAAAAUGUAUUACAAUUUACCAGUCCAUAACCAUUAAAAUAAAGCACUCUGUCUGAAAGUCAGACUAAACUAUUCUCCUCUAUCUUAUUUCACCCAACUGUCAAAAAAUCCAGCAGGGUAAUUUAGAAAGUUAAGCUAGAGAAGGGCUAAAGUUUAUUCAUGACUUCAUGAAAUAAAUAUUACAGGAUACAGAGACAAAGAAGCAUGUGUGUGCUUUAAUCAAGAUGCAAUUGUUAGUGUAUCAGAGAGAAUAUGCAUUCUUGCCAUCUGGAAAAGACAAUAUGAGGUGUGUAGGGAGCACCUGAGUGGUUUUCUGAGGAGCAAGUCCAUAACUUCAUCAGGCUUGCAUGGAUGGUCAUAAUUUAUUAGGUUAUGAAUCAUUGCUCUAGCAAAGUGUUGACUCUGUCCCACUAUGACAACAUUUACCUGCGAGUCAUUUAGCUGGGAUGUCUGAAUGUGAGGACUAGAUUCCAGCAUCGUCCCCAGGGAGAGAGUCAGAUCUGGAUCCAGGGUGAAGGAGCUACACUUUGGAAGUAAACUAAUCCCAAAUGAGCCAACUAAGUAAACUUUUCAGGGCAUUAUUAAGCACACAGAAGAAAAUGUUGUGGCCUAUAAAAUAAAGUUCAUUUCCCUCACUUGAUGAGCAGGUCGUUCUCAGAGAUAUCUCCAGGUGUCCUUUUGACGAACCCCUCCUCCCCCCAAGACAAAGAACAAAGAAGUUGAGAAUGGAAAUUAAUUUUUUUCUCUCUAAGUACUAUCCGCAUGCUGCUUGGUCCCAGGGAUUGUGACCCUCGUCUAUAGAUGAACAGAUGCACCAAAUGUUUGUCUAAACUAUCGACUUUAAAAGAUCAGUCUCAUUGGCUUCUUUACUCAUUGGACUCACCGAUGGCCAGCCUGAUAGCAAGUCCCGCAAAGAAGGAUGCAAGAAGGAAGCAAAGGAAAUAUUAGUUCAAUGCAAUAGACUCGUAUUGAGUCCCUGCCCUAUGUGGACCAGACACUAAGGACAGAGGUGCAUGAGUGAGCCAGCUCAUCAGAGACUUACAGUAAUAUAUCCGAGAAGAGGAGGGAUCCAAUCCUGGGAGAAGCAAGUGAGGACACCUAACCUCAGUUUCAAGAAGAGUCUUAUGGAGAUCCAGGCAGAAGAACACACAUAUGGGGAAGAAGGAGGGAGGAGGAGCCUCGGGCUUUCCCUCCACCAUCAGUGCCAGCACAGUGGUCCAUGCCUGCCACAUUCUGAAGCAGAGAGAGCACUACACCAGCACAGUAGAAGGAGCCACUCUGUUCUUUGUGUAUAGAGGGAGGACACUCUCAAGCAGCCAAGAACUCAAAGGAACUGGAACUGCCCACUUUCUUUUCUUUCUUUUUAAAAAGCAUAGCUAAUUGGCUUUAUUCAAUGAUUCUUAAAUCAGACAGCGACCCAUCUAGCAAGUAGAGUGGUGCUCCAAGGAGUUGGUUGUACAAAAUGGAAGGUUUUUAUAGAAGGAGGGUGGGCCGAGGAAGUUAUUAGCAAAAGUAAAGGAUGGUUCCAGACAAGGCUGCUUUCCCUUAAGGGAAAAGGAAGGAGGUCUUAUCCUGCAGAUGACCUCAUCCUUCUUUGGGGGAGGGGAGGAGUGGACAGGGCCCAAGUAGCAGACUCACUGGUAUUGAUGGAAAUAUUCCUAACUGAUCAGUUAAGACCACAUUUCUGGGGGAGAUCCAACUGCAAUGAGGUUCUGUAGUAAGCCCUGGCUUGAGAACUCGGUUUAAGUGCCACCAUUUCAAGCCUGUCAGCCACCACUGUCUAAACUAGUUUGUGAGAACUGCAUGGAGGAAGGAGAGACAACAUUGUUUGCUGUGUGCUGUCUGUUCCCCUAGCGUUGUUGUGUCACUCCAGCCGGGGACCUCAGGGCUGUCAUUUACUGAGUGAGUGAUUGCUAUGGGUCUAGGCUUUUCACCUCCUACUCAAUGAAAACCUCACACUCUAGUUGACGAGAAAGCCCCAUUUUAUACAUGAGAAGCCUGAAACAGAGCAAGGUGAACCUACUCCCCAAGGAAUGCAGUAGCCGAAGGAGGAUUCAGUGUUACACAGCAUUGCAAAUAUCAGCCUUGCACCCAUCAAACUCCAGGGAAAUCCUACCUACUGGCCUCCUAAUAAAGCCGAGACCACCACUGUGCAAAAGUGAUUUCUAAAUCUCCAUUUCC